UACGUAGGGUGCAAGCGUUGUCCGGAAUUACUGGGCGUAAAGCGCACGUAGGCGGAUAGUUAAGUCGGGGGUGAAAUCCCGGGGCUCAACCCCGGAACUGCCUUCGAUACUGGAAGUCUUGAGUAUGGAAGAGGUAAGUGGAAUUGCGAGUGUAGAGGUGAAAUUCGUAGAUAUUCGCAGGAACACCAGUGGCGAAGGCGGCUUACUGGUCCAUUACUGACGCUGAGGUGCGAAAGCGUGGGGAGCAAACAGG
rnacentral:rRNA from 1 species